rnacentral:rRNA from 1 species
UAGGGAAUCUUCGGCAAUGGGGGGCAAACCCUGACCGAGCAACGCCGCGUGAGUGAAGAAGGUUUUCGGAUCGUAAAGCUCUGUUGUAAGAGAAGAACGUGUGUGAGAGUGGAAAGUUCACACAGUGACGGUAACUUACCAGAAAGGGACGGCUAACUACGUGCCAC